UACGGAGGGUGCAAGCGUUAAUCGGAAUUACUGGGCGUAAACGCGCGUAGGUGGUUGUAAGAGAGAUGUGAAAGCCCCCGGGGCUUAAACCUGGGGAACGGCAUUUCGAACUGUCAGGCUAGAGUAUGGUAGAGGAGUGUGGAAUUUCCUGUGUAGCGGUGAAAUGCGUAGAUAUAGGAAGGAACACCAGUGGCGAAGGCGGCACUCUGGACCAAUACUGACACUGAGGUGCGAAAGCGUGGGGAGCAAACAGGAUUAGAUACCCCGGUAGUCC
rnacentral:rRNA from 1 species